rnacentral:rRNA from 1 species
GGGUGCGGGGGCGCGGAGUGCGGGGUAAAACGUAGGGGGCCAGUGUGGUUGUGAAGGACGGGGUUUAAAGGUUGCGUAGGCGGGGUGGCAAGUGUGUAGUGAAAUUGCUGUGCUUAACCCAGAACCGGCUUCCGAAGCUGCGGUGCUCGGGUGUGGGAGAGGCGCGUGGAAUUGCAGGUGUAGCGGUGAAAUGCGUAGAUAUCUGCAGGAACACCCGUGGCGAAAGCGGCGCGCUGGACCAUUACUGACGCUGAGGAACGAAAGCUAGGGGAGCAAACAGGAUUAGAUACCCGUGUAGUC